CUCCAUUUGAAUGGAAUCGAAAAAGUAUAAAUUUGACAAAAAGUGAAACUAACAUUUCUCCGCUUCCAUUCCAAAAAUACUUUUCCAUUUGGCAAGAAUUUGUGGUUGCCACUGCCACAGACGACACGUUCCUGCAAUUUCCACCACCCACAGAGAUGAAAUAUUUCCAAUAUUGAUCUACAGAAACAGACGCAACAAACAGAAAUACAAACGAAUAAAAUGAGACAAA
rnacentral:lncRNA from 1 species